UCGCAUAAGUUUAGUUUCGUGACUCUGAUCAUAAUCAGUGAUGGCUUCAUUAAAAGAAAUAUGGGUUAAGAGUCUAAGCCCAACAAGAUAAUAUUAUACCACACAAUAGAAAUUCUCAAUUUAGGGGAUGGAGGAUGAGGUGACAAGAUAGUUAUUAGCGGAAGCAAAAGACAUCGUGGAACCUUAGCCUCAGCUCAGCCUCAUCUGCACCAACUGAUCAACCUGAAAACAUUUGAAAAUAAUUUGGGCUGAGUACUAAUGUACUCAGUGGGCACAAGUUUUCGAAAUAUUUUAUGAAAUGUUAAGGCAGUUUAUCCAAUAUCAAAAUCAUGACUUAGAAGGUUUUAAAGCGAAAUCCCACUUCUAAGCAUGACAAAAAUAUUUUCUUGUCGAGGGCGCCCAUGUACGUUCGAUUGUUACUCACUUUCUCCCUACAUUCACUGAUCUCGGGACGCACCCAGUCAGAUCCAAAAUCUGUUAUUGAUCUCGGGACGCACCCGGUCGGAAUCAAUAACCUUAACUGUGCUCCGGAUAACCUCCUGUCAAGCACCGUGCUCCGGAUAACCUCCUGUCAAGCACCCACCCUUAUAACGUUCUAAAUCUGUUAGUGCACGAUGGUGAUCAACCCAUCGAGCCACUAACCCUGUGUACACAAUCCUCAUUUAGCGUGUUAGGCCAAAUGAGAAUCUCGAUCGAUACUUAAGUGAGCCUUAAACAAUUACAGAACGCACAUAAAAACAUUUAUAUCGGAUAAACAGAUAAUUUUCAUGAAAUAUCAGAGCUUAUAUAACUCAAGAUACAUUGUAUGUAAAAUAAAACCCACCUGAAUAGGCAAAGCCUGUAGUUCAAUCGUAAACCCGUCACGGAAACGCAGUGCUAAUCCUCAUGAUCCUCAAGCCUACAAGAAAUCUAUUACUUAAUAGGUCUCUUGGUGCUAUUCUAACUUCUAAACAAUAUGGGGAUUGCUAACUAUUAGAUACACUUUGACCCGAAUAAGAAUUCUAUAAUAUCUUUAAGUGAAUCCAUAAACUUUUAAUACAUAAUUAAUAACUUAAUAAAUAUAAUUAUCACUAAAUCUAAAAAUAAUUAAUAAUUUAAAGAAAAUACAAAACCUUAAUAUUGGAAGAAAAAUUAAUAAAUUUAUUAAAACAUUUACAGGCCCAAAAUAAUAAUUAAGCCCAAAGAAAAUAAUUUAGAAAAACCUACAAUGACUUAAUAAGGCCCAAGCAUAAUACAUAAAUUGAGCCCAUAAGUUUUAUUAAACAGCAGCCCAUUUAGAAAUAAAAAUCGGCCCAUUAGCUAACUUAAAGCCCAAAUAUAGCUUAAAGCCCAAAUUGGAAAAAAAAAAAAAUAAUCAAACUAAAACAAAAGAAUAGAAAAUCACCUCUCACUUUCUCUCUCUCUCAAAUCGGUCCCCUCUCUCUCUUUCUUCUCCCUGAACCACCGCCUCUUCUCCCUCCAAGAUCUGCCGCCGCCGCCUGCUUCAACCCCGGCGAGGAUCGCCGGCUCCGACGCCUCCCCCAAUCAUCGUCGUCUCCUCCGUCUCUCCCUCCUGGCGCACAUCAGGCGGCCGAAGAGCGCCGCCGCCGCCGCUGCUGCUUUCGCGGCGGUCCGCGCGCGCCUGUCCUUCGGCCGCGUCCUCCUCCCCCUCUCUCUCUCUGCUCGCGGCGACCAGCCACCCUGGGCCGCCCCACCACGGCAGUGGCUGCUGCCGACUCUACCUCUCCUCCUUCCUCCCAGAUCCGUUGCCGCCGCCGCCUGCAGCCACUCCGGCGAGACUCGCCUUCAGCCGCCUCCCAUCUGCCCUCUCCUUCCAUCAUGUUUCCGGCAGCGGACGAGCGCUUGCUGCUGCUGCUCCGUUCUCGCAGUGGCUAGCGGCGCUUGGCCUUCGGCCGCGCCGCCCCGUGCGACGGCGUCUCGCAUCGCCUCGGGUCACGCCGCCUCGCCUCCUGCCAGCCAACAGUCGUCCGUCUUGGGCCUCCACCUCCUCCUCCGCCUGCUUUAGCUACGAGCGGCCGGUGGGCUGCCGCCACCUGCAGCACCGGCAGCUGCGACUUCGUCAACUCAGAGUGAGGCUCCGACACGACCCCCUCCCAGCUCUCACCACUUUCUCGACUCUCACUCUCUCUCCGAAGGUAAGCAAGAAGGAUUCAACUCAGAUUUGAAGAAAAGAAAGAUGGGUUCUUGGAGAAAUCUGAAAUUGUAUAAAUGUUAUGUCCUUAGGUUUUCUUGUU
rnacentral:lncRNA from 1 species